rnacentral:lncRNA from 1 species
GGCGCCAUGGAGGGGAAGAGUUCCGCGAAGAAGAAGGCAAGGACGGCAGUGCCGGCGACGGCCAGCCUCCUGACGGACGACCUCAUCUUGGAGAUCCUCUCCCGCCUCCCCGCCAGGUCCGUCCACCGCUUCAAGUGCGUCUCCCCGGCCUGGCGCGACCUCAUCGCCGACCCCGCCCACCGCAAGAAGCUGCCCCAACCCCUCGCCGGUUUCCUAUACAACACCUACCACAGGCCGGACCCCCGCUUCUACAACUUUCACUUCGCCAAAGUCUCCGGCGCCGCAGCCCCGCCGGUCGACCCGUCCCUCUCUUUCCUGCCUUCCGACGAGUACUGGUACGUAGACCAGCUGGACACCUGCAACGGCCUCCUCCUCUGCCGCGCCCACAUGUUGCCUUCUUCUCCUUCCGGGGACAAGAAUACGCGGGUUGAAUCCCAUUACAUCGUGUGCAAUCCGGCCACCGGGAGGUGGGUCGACCUCCCCCCUCACCCCGAGGUGCCACCCGGCGGUCGCAUCUUCGCUCGCUUGGCUUUUGAUCCAGCAGCCUCGUCCCAUUUCCACGUUCUUCAGUUUAAGGACAGCCAGCAGAAGGAAUACGUCACAGGAGUGAACAUCUACUCCUCUCAAACCGGGGCAUGGAUUUGUAGAGAAAGCCGCUUGGUUGAGAAAAUUAGCCUGUUCACUGGCCUCGCAAGUGUCUUCUUUCACGGUAUGCUGCACUUGCUUGGUUUAUUGUAUCCCAUGAACAUGGAGGAUGAUGCUGUGCUGGUAGCCGUGGACAUGGAAGGCCAGGUGUGGAACACUAUCCGUGUGCCGUCUGGUGGUUUGAGUUUCGGUAGAAUUGGAUUGUCACAGGGGUGCUUGCACUAUGCUGCCACACCGCUAGCUACUGACGACAAGAAGAAGAAGGAGAGGAAGAAGAAAAAGAAUGAUACAUCGACAGUCUGGUGCAUGAAGGAUUAUGAUAGUAAAGAGUGGGUCUUGAAGCAUAGUGUCAGCAAGGAUGAGCUGCGGAGCAUAACUGGUGUGGACUAUAAAGUGGCUGCUUUUCAUCCAGACCGUGAAACCAUUUUUUUGGAUUCAUAUGAUGUUGAUACAUUGGUGUCAUAUGAUAUGCAGCAUCGGAAAUUCCAUCAAAUCCGUAGUCUUCGGGAAAACAGGGCAACACUAUUUGUACCCUAUGUUCCAUUGUUCUCAGACUCAUUUGCAGGUGCAGAUGGACAGUAGUGUUACCUAUAAGUCAAGCUUGUGCUUCUUCUAAGAAUUUGCUCUUCUGUAGGCGCUGAACUAUUUUUGUCUGUUGAUCUCUGAAUUUGCUUAAGUUAUGUCAUUUAACUUGUGUGCUCCUGCUAGCUUGAUUUUCUGUUUGGAAAAACAUGGUUACUAUUCUUGUCGCUGAAUUAUUCAAUUUACUGGUGCUUGUGUCCUAUUGUCUGGAUACGAAUUAGUUUCAUGUCGCAAAGUUAUUCUGAAAUCUGGUUCUCGUGUUCAAGACACUAAGGAUCUUGUGUCCUAAAUCCUAAGAUUACUACUCGCUCCGUUUCUAAAUAUAAGUCUUUUUAGAGAUUCCAAUAAGGGACUACAUACGGAGCAAAAUGCACUCUAAAAUAUGUCUAUAUACAUCCAUAUGUAGUUUGUAUUAAAAUCUCUAAAAAGACUUAUAUUUAGAAACGGAGGGAGUACAUUAUUAGUGAGGGUUGUUGGUAAACUUUUUACUGUACUGAGAGUCUCUAUCAGAUUGUUGCAAUGUCUAUUUGAUUCUAGCCCUCAGGAUUUCGGUGAUGCAUUCCCAGUGAGCAAAGUUCUUUUUAUCUACUACUUGUCCUGUAGCUAAUGAAUUCAUAAUGCUGUGGCUUAACUUCUGCUACUCCCUCCAAUCCAAAUUAAUUGUCGCAGCUCUAGUACAACUUGUACUAAAGUUGUACUCCCUUAGUGAUCUAAAUGAUCUUAUAUUAGUUUACAGCGGGAGUACUAAUUUGGAUCGGAGGGAGUACCUAAUUUGUUAACCCAACUGAAUACUUGCAUCAAUGAUGAAAGAAAACGUGCAGAUGUGCAGUAGUGUUUCACACCUUUCGUAAUGAAAUCUUUUCUUGCUGGGUGAGAAAAACAAGAAAUGCUUAUUUCUUCCCUGUGUUCCUCUUUUCUGGGAGUCUCCUAAAUGAUGACAUUCAAUCUGCUUGUGCUUACACUGCCGCUAGAUUGAUUGUUUGUUCGGAGCAAUGCCUGGCAUACCUACAGAUUAAUCAUAUCGAUGUGUGCAGCUUAGUUUACUGAAAGUCUCAAUAAGAAUGUUUCAACGUGAGUAUAUUUGAUCUUAGUCCUAAGUGGUAUUGCACUGCAUCGAACAAGUUCCUCUUAUCUAAGCUAAUGAAUUCUGGCGAACCCAGUCUGAAUUUCUAUCACUACACCAUAUAAUUACACCAUGGUUUAUUCAGUUUCUGACCUGAGUAAAUCUAUUGAACUAUGUCCCACAAUUUCCCCAUGUUUCCUGUCAUUUUCUAGACAUCUGUGAUGUUUCUUUGGAAACUACAUUCCCGUUACAGUAUUACCCAAUCCUCGUAGAAUUAUUUUUUGCUCCUACAUGUUUUCCAUAUCACACGAACUCACAAACACACCGAAAAAGAAAAAAUUAUUUCCUACAACUUAGUAGUGAAUUGGUUCAUAUACAUAGUCCGUCAGUUAUCGAAACCAUUUCCUUUACUCCUGUUUUCCAGCAGCUUGAACUGAAAUAGGGACAUUGCAGUGUACAUUCAUCGAUCGUGUCACCAUAAUCACAGCAAAGCAAUGUGAUCUGAGAAACUUUACCACGCUGAUGGUCCGUGAAACCUCUGCGGUUAAUUUGUUGCUCUAUUCGUUCAGAUGUGUUCUCUGAAGGUUGUUUGUUCCAGUAUACUCCAACAUGUACACACGGCUCCCUCCACGGCCGGACAACUGACACGAUGCCAACCAUUAGGCACGGCGACGGUAAGACGACGCUGUACCGGCCGGCGGACGGUGCACGUCGAUGGAACAUGUGCUUCACCAUCGUCUACUCAUUUGUGAGCAAGGUCAUUGCCUUGGUCGACCAACUUUGGGGUGGUCCGGAAGCUUGUGAGGUCAUGUCUCCCCGAGUCUGUCUCGCAUGAUCUGGGAUGGUCGUCCACCCCUCUUCAUCGUCUUCCUCUACAGGAUGGCGGUUUGUUACCGAGAUUUUUGUCGCCGACAUCUUCUGACUCUCAUAGAUGACUUCUCGGCUGCUGCACCAACAACAUUUCCCUGGCCUUGAGGCUAUUUUCAGAGUUCCAUGGGUGGCAUUGAGCCUGCUUCGCUCAGGGCGCACCGCCAGUGGGUGUAGGAGUAGGAUGACGUUAAUUUAUCCAAGGACCGGUAUGUAAUUUUAUUUUUUUAAGGACGACCUUGUAAGGAUUGACUGAUUUCCUUAAUAAAGAUAUUCAGAUGACAUCUUUAGUAUAUAUGUCAUUUGGCAAAAUUAAAUAAACACGGUGAAGAUAAACGAGUGAGCAAUCUGGUUUCAAGUUUCACGUCCUAUAGACAAAUUCUUAUAGGGAAUGGAAGACAAAGUUUUUUUAGGCUUUUUUUAGACAUAUUUUCUUUUAAAAAAGUUAGGCGAAGACAAAGUUUGUUGCGCUGUACAGAGGUGAAGUUUUUUUUUCCAGAAACUGUACAGAAGUAAAUUCUUUUUUUGAGACAUGCACAAAAGUUUUUUUUUCUGAGAAAAGAGACAUGUGCAGAAGUGAAGUGGAGGGGCCAACAUUUUUGUUUUGAGGGAGGGGCUGACAUUUUUUUCUUGAGACAAGAGGGAGGGGCUGACAUGGCCAUGGAAGAUACUAGUAUAAUGUAAAACACGGCCCAGUAUUUCCCUGCUAAUGCUUUUGCGGCCCAACAUUACCCACCAUCCAUCCACUGCUACAGUAACAUUUCCCCAAUCGGUGGGUUACCGAACCCCCGUCGCCGCCUACGCCGCCGCCGCCGUCGCGUCCGACGAACAAUCGCAUCCUACGCCGCCGCCUCAAGCCAAGGUAUUUCUCUUCACGCGCACGGGAAAACCGUCUGCCACCCCAUCAAUUCGUCCUUCUAACCCAGAUUGAUGAAUCCCUUGUUCCUUUAAGCGUCACCAUGGAGGAGAAGAGCUCUCGGCACAAGAAGGCAAGGGCGACCAACCCUCCGGCGUCGGCGCAGGAGGCAGUUCCGGUGGCGGAGGCGGCCAGCCUCCUGACGGACGACCUCAUCGUGGAGAUCCUCUCCCACCUCCCCGCCAGGUCCGUCCACCGCUUCAAGUGCGUCUCGCCGUCCUGGCGCGCCCUCAUCACGGACCCCGCCAACCGCAAGAAGCUGCCCCAGGCCCUCGCCGGCUUCCUCUACAGCACCUUCCACAGGAGAGACCCCCACUUCCAUGAAUUCCACUUCGCCAACAUCUCCAACAGCCCAUCCCCGCCGGUUGACCCGCUCCUCCCUUUCUUGCCAUCCGACAAGUACCUGUACGUCAACCAGCUGGACACCUGCAAUGGCCUCCUCCUCUGCCGCGUCCACAUGGCCCCUUCUUCUCCUUCCGGGGACGAGAAUACGCCGGUUGAAUCCCAUUACAUCGUGUGCAAUCCGGCCACCGGGAGGUGGGUCGACCUCCCCCCUCACCCUGAGGCGCCUCCUGACAGCUUCGUCUUCGCUCGUUUGGCUUUUGAUCCAGCAGUCUCCUCCCAUUUCCGUGUUCUUCAAUUUGAGAACAGCGAUCUGAAGAAAUACGUCACAGGAGUCAACAUAUACUCUUCGCAAACUGGAGCCUGGAAUCAUAGAGAAAGUCGCUUGUUUGAGAAAAUUACCCUCUUCGCCGGCCUUUCCGGUGUCUUCUUUCACGGUAUGCUACACUUGCUUGGUUGGCUGCACCACCCCCUGUACAUGGACGAAAAUUUUGUGCUGGUAGCAGUGGACGUGGAGGGGCAGGUGUGGAAGACUACCCGUUUGCCUUCACGUGGUUUGGGUUUUGGUAGAAUUGGAUUGUCACAGGGGUGCUUGCACUAUGCUAGCAAAGUCCUACCUACUGUUGACAAUAACAAGAAGAAGAAGAAGAAAAAGGAGGAGGAUACAUCUCUAGCUGCCGAGAUAGCAGCAGUCUGGUGCAUGAAGGAUUAUGAUAGUAAGGAAUGGAUUUUGAAGCAUAGUGUCACCAUUGCUGAGUUAUGGAGCAUAACUUCGGCAGAGUUCGAUGUUGCUGCUAUUCAUCCAGACCGCGGCAGCAUUUUCUUGUAUUCAUAUGAUGAUGAUACAUUGGCAUCAUACGAUAUGCAACAUCGACUUCAUCGUAUCCUUCAUCUCGAGGAAAACAACACAGCAAUAUUUCUACCCUAUGUUCCACUCUUCUCAGACUCAUUUGCAGGUGCAGAUGGGCAGUAGUGUUACCUAGGAGUCAAGUUUGUGUUUCCUUCAAGAAUGGGAUCUUCUUUAGGCUAAACUAUUUGUCUGUUGGAUUUUUGAAUCGACUUAAAUUAUGUCAUUCGAUUUGCUGGUGGUUAUGUGCUCCUUUGAGCUUGAUUUUUCUGUUUGCAGCAAUCCUUGGUAACCUUAGAGAUUAAGCAUAUUGCAGUUUUCAAAGAAGAUUGUUAAGCUAUUGUCCUAGGUACAAAUUAGUUUCAUGUGGCUAAAGUAUUCUAAAAUCUGGUUUUCAUAGCCAUGAUAUGUAAGGAUUAUGUGACCUAAAUCCUAAUAUUACUUAGUGUAAUUUGUGUAUUUAUUGGAAGUCUCAAUCUCAGACUGUUGCAAAGCCUAUUUGAUGUUAGUCCUCAAGAUCUGGGUGAGGUGCUGCCACUGCAAUUUUUUCUAUCUGGGUGAACUGAAAAAUUGCUUUUGUUCGACAAAAGAAAAGGCCAGCUUUCCUAAAAAGCUUUCUUGCUGGGUGAGAAAAACAAGACAUGGCUAUUUGUACCCUCUGCUCCUCUGUUCUGGGAGUCAUUAGCUGGUGCUUACACCCCAACUAGCUUGAUUGUUUGUUCGGAGCAAUGUGUGGUAUCCCAACAGAUAUGCCCUGGACACGAAUUUUCUCCAUGUGGCUAGAUUAUAAUGUAAUCUGGCUUUAUUGGCCAUAAUAUUUGAGGAAUAUUAGUGGGUGCAGCUUGUUGUCACGCCCCAGGCACAUACAUAUGAUGAGCAAUCAGAUCAAUACCGAUUUCGGUUACAAGAGAAGGAAUUUGAGGUGAGAAUCAGCAACAAGGGGUGAGAUACACGAAGCAGGAAGGUGAGGAACAGGAGCAAGAGGAUGAGGAUGAGAGGCUUCAAGACGUUUCAAUGGUUGGCUGCCCUUCUGUGUUGCGUCUCUCCUUAUAUAGACAUUGCUUCAGAUCCUUGCAGCUAGGCCCAGCCCAUUUCACGGAGGAAGACCCGCCAAGAGUAAAAGGGGCAUGGCCCCAGGGGCAUGACACUUGUCAACGUGUUAGUGUACUGAAUGUCUCAAUCGUACUGUCGCAAUGUCUAUUUGAUCUUAGUCCUCAGGCUGGUCAUAGUGGGAGUAACUUAGAUAGUAUCAUAGCGCACUUCAAGAAAAUUUUGCUUAUGUGGCAUUUAGUUAAUAAGGAGAGAGGUGUUUAGAGUAACAUAAUAUGUUACUGUAACAUAGUGCUUCCCGAGAAAGUAUGAGUCUACAAGCUAAUAAAUGAAGCCAUCUAUGACACUACUAUUAUGUUAUUUUGCACUAUGAAAUUAGUAAUUUAGACUAGUGUCAUAUGCAUGACACUAAUAUAAGUUACUCCCCACUAUGACCAGCCUCAGCGGCAUGCGCUGCAUCCUGCAUCGAACAAGUUCCUUUUAUCUAUUUUUCAUGUUACUGAUGAAUUCUGUUGAAUCCAGUUGAACUUGGUUCCACAGCUAACCUGCUACAGAGGAUCAAGUGGUUUUGAUACAGUACUCCCUUCAAUCAUAAUAAGUGUCGCAGUUUUGAACUAAGGUUGAACUAACAUUAGUUCAAAACUGAGACAUUUAUUUUGAAUCGGAGGGACUAUUAUUUUUGCUACAUAUCAGGUGAUAAGCCAAAGGUAAAUAUCAUGUAAUCUUGUGUGUGGUUCACGAAUGAGAAAGGGAUUUCGGCAGGUGCCAGCAUAGGACUGGGCAUUUCCUGCUAGAAAGAUUAAUCAUAUCGGUGGGUGCAGCUUAGUUUACUGAAAGUCUCAAUAAGAAUGUUGCAAUGUGAGUAUAUUUCAUCUUAAUCCUAAGCGGUAAUGUACUGCAUCAAACAAGUUCCUCUUAUCUAAGCUAAUGAAUUCUGGUGAAUCCAGUCUGAAUUUCUAUCACAACACCAUAUAAUUACACCAUGGUUUAUUCAGUUUCUGACCUGAAUAAAUCUAUUGAACUAUGUCCCACAAUUUCCCCAUGUUUCCUGUCAUUUUCUAGACAACUGUGAUGUUUCUUCGGAAACUACAUUCCUACAUUCCCGUUAACAAUAUUACCCAAUCCCCAUGGACAACAGUAGUAACUCGUAGAAUUAUCUUUUGCUCCUACAUGUUCUCCAUAUCACGCGAACUCAUAAGCACACCGAAAAAGAAGAAUUUAUUCCCUGCAACUUAUUGCUGAAUUGGUUCAUAUACAUAGUCCGCCGGUUAUCGAAACCAUUUCCUUUACUCCUAUUUUCAUGUAUGGGCCUAAGGACCAUCUAUAAUUCAACAUCGUGUCCUCAUAUUUGGUUUUGGNNNNNNNNNNNNNNNNNNNNNNNNNNNNNNNNNNNNNNNNNNNNNNNNNNNNNNNNNNNNNNNNNNNNNNNNNNNNNNNNNNNNNNNNNNNNNNNNNNNNNNNNNNNNNNNNNNNNNNNNNNNNNNNNNNNNNNNNNNNNNNNNNNNNNNNNNNNNNNNNNNNNNNNGGAGGUUAGUCUCAGUGGCAUUGUCCGACGGAGCAAAUGGCGCGAUUGUGCAUCUUUGUUCUCCAACUCCAGUUUUGAACGGCAAAAGGCUGGCUAGUAUCGGCCUCGUCAGGGAGCGUGUGAAAGUUGUGUUCCUAGAUUCCGUCUAGCUGGACCUGGAGCGUUAUUCAUGCCCUAUGUGAUGCGUUUUUUCUUCUCCUGGGCGACAAUGUGCUAUGUAGUUCACGGUUGUCGGCAUCUUCUGGUCUACAUAUGUGACUUCCCGGACAUUGUUACUACAAACUUCUGGGUAUCAACAAUGUGCUAUGUAGUCCACGGUUGUCGGCAUCUUCUGGUCUACAUCUGUGACUUCCUGGACAUUGUUACUACAAACUUCUGGGUAUCAACAAGUUGGCUCUGCUAAGAUGGAGGUCGAGAGGAGGCGACGAGCUUUGCUCACGACACGGCAGCGAUGGAUGCAGGAGGAUUUAGACUUUGGCACCCCCAAGGAUUUUUGAUGCAUUUUUAAUUUCUAUAAGGAUAUCUUUAUAAGGUUUGUGCUACCUAAUAUGUAGCCAUUAGCCUCUAAGUAAAAGAACAACAUGAAUGAUUAGUUCCGAGGAAGGUAUUUAACAUACAUAGUGAAGUUUGCCUUCUCGCACUGAUUUUUUUGCACCAUACAUCCAUUACAUACGGCUCUUUCUCCAAGCCCCUCCCUCUCCAGAAACCCUAUCCACCUUGGCUCCACCGUUCCCUGUCGGCUUGGCCACGAGUUCUCUCAUCCUCCGCCUGGUGCUCCAACGGUGGGAGGAGGUGGGGAUCCCGGAGUUGUAUUGCGGCCUUGUAGCUAGGUCUCUUAGAAUAAGAGUUUCAUUCCCCGACGAUGGCCUUGUGGUGAUGAUGGUGUCAUGUGGAUCAAGAAUAAGGUUGCCCCAACUCCUCGUCCACCACGUCGACGACAUAGAUGAGGGCGGGGGCAUUUGGUUGCUUCUCUUAUGAAUUAGUAACUGGUGGUGUCUUCGCAUUAUGUUGAAAGGUGUCUUUGGGCGGAGUGGACAAUGCCGCUUCAUGUCUUCGUCCUCUGGCUCCUCGGGUGACAUUCGACCAACUUCGAGGUAGUCCGGAAGCUUGUGAGGUCUUGUCUCCCCGAGUUUGUCUGGCAUGGUUUGGGGUGGUCGUCCACCCCUCUUCAUCGUCUUCUUCUCCGGGAUGGCGAUAUGUUACUGAGAUUUUUGUCGCCGGCAUCUUCUGACUCUGAAAGAUGACUUCUCGACUGCUGCAACAACAACGUUUCCCUGGCUCCGAGGCUAUUUUGGAGUUCCACAGGUGGCAUUGAGCUUGGCUCACGGCGCACCGCCAGUGAGUGCAAGAGUAAGACGACGUUAAUUUACUCGAGGACCGGUAUGCAAUUUUUAAUUUCUUUAAGGAUGACCUUAUAAGGGUUGACUGGUUUUUUUAAUAAAGAUAUUCAGAUGACAUCUUUAAUGUAUGUCAUUUGGCAAAAUUUAAAAAACACGGUGAAGAUAAACGAGCGAGCAAUCGGGUUUCAAGUUUUGCGUCUUGUAGACAAAUUCAUGUUUUCUUAUAGGGAUGCAAGACAAAUAUUUUUAGGCUAUUUGUAGACAUAUUUUCUUUAGAAACAAGUUAGGUGAAGACAAAAUUUGUUUCUUUAGGCAAAGACCAAGUUUGUUACGUUGUACAAAAGUGAAGUUUUUUUUUUUUUAGAAAUUGUACAGAAGUGAUGUUUUUUAUAACUACUCCCUCCGUUCCUAAAUAUUUGUCUUUCUAGAUAUUUCAAUAAGUGGCUACAUACGGAGCAAAAUGAGUGAAUCUACACUCUAAAAUAUGUCUACAUACAUCCGUAUGUGAUAGUUUAUUUGAAAUAUUUAGAAAGACAAAUAUUUAGGAACGGAGGGAGUAGUACAUAAGUUUUUUUUGAGGGGCCACCAUCUUUUUUGAGACAAAAAUAUAAUAAUAAAAUGUUGGCCCCUCAAAAUAAAAAUAACAAUGAGGGGCCAACAUGGUCAUGGAAGAUGAGUACUAAUGUAGAACACGGCCCAGUAUUUCACUGCUAAUGCUUUUGCGGCCCAACAUUACCCACUGGCCACUACCCCCAUUGCGCUACAGUAACAUUUCCCCAAUCGGUGGGUUACGGAACCCCCGUCGCCGCCUACGCCGCCGCCGUCGCGUCCGACGAACAAUCGCACCCUACGCCGCCGCCUCAAGCCAAGGUAUUUCACUUCACGCGCACUGGAAAACCUUCUGCUCCCCCAUCAAUUCGUCCUUCUAGCCCAGAUUGAUGAAUCCAUUGUGAAUCCCUUGUUCCUUUAAGCGGCGCCAUGGAGGAGAAGAGCUCUGGGCACAAGAAGGCAAGGGCGACCAACCCUCCGGCGUCGGCGCAGGAGAUGGCGGCGGCGGCCAGCCCCCUCACGGAUGACCUCAUCGUGGAGAUCCUGUCCCGCCUCCCCGCCAGGUCCGUCCACCGCUUCAAGUGCGUCUCGCCGUCCUGGCGCGCCCUCAUCGCGGACCCGGCCAACCGCAAGAAGCUGCCCCAGACCCUCGCCGGCUUCCUCUACAGCACCUACCACUGGGCAGAUCCUCGCUUCCAAAAGUUUCAUUUGGCCAACGUCUCCGUCGGCGCAGCCCCGCCGGUCGACCUGUCCCUCUCUUUCCUGCCACCCGACAAGUACUUGUACGUCGACCAGCUGGACGCCUGCAAUGGCCUUCUCCUCUGCCUCUGCUACAUGGCCCCUUCUUCUCCUUCAACGGACAAGCGUACGCCGCUUGAAUCUCAUUUCAUCGUGUGCAAUCCGGCCACCAAGAGGUGGGUCGAUCUGCCCCCUCACGCCAAGGUGCCAAAUGGCCAUCGCGGUGUAGCUCGUUUGGGUUUUGAUCCAGCAGUAUCGUCCCAUUUCCAUGUUCUUCAGUUUGAGAAGACCGAUCAGGAGGAUUGCGUCACAGGAGUGAACAUCUACUCUUCGCAAACUGGAGCUUGGAAGCGUAGACAAAGCCGCUUGGUUGAGAAAAUUACCCUGUACGCUGGCCUUGCAAGUGUCUUCUUUCACGGUAUGCUGCACUUGCUUGGUAUGCUGAAACCCAUGAAGUUGGACGACGAUGCUGUGCUGGUAGCAGUGGACAUGGAGGGGCAGGUGUGGAAGGCUAUCCGUGUGCCGUCAGGUGGUUUGAGUUUUGGUACGAUUGGAUUGUCACAGGGGUGCUUGCACUAUGCUACCACACCCCUAGGUAUUGUUGACAAGAACAAGAAGGAGGAUACAUCCCUAGCUACCAAGAUAGCAUCAGUCUGGUGCAUGGAAGAUUAUGAUAGUAAAGAAUGGGUCUUGAAGCAUAGUGUCAGCAAUGAUGAGUUAGGAAGCAAAACUAGGGCGGAGUACAAGGUGACUGCUAUUCAUCCAGACCGUGACACUAUUUUCCUGGAUUCAUGUGAUGUUGAUACAUUGGCAUCUUAUGAUAUGCAACAUCGGGAAUUCUGUCGUAUCCUUAAUCUUAAGAAAGACAGAGCACCACUGUUUGUACCCUAUGUUCCACUAUUCUCAGACUCAUUAGCAGGUGCAGAUGGUCAGUAGUGUCAGCUCAAGUAGCCGCUAAACUCAAGCUUGUGCUUCUUCAAGGAAUUGGCUCAUCUUCUGUAGGCUGGACUAUUUGUCUGUUAAUUUCUGAAUCUACUUAAAUUAUAUCCUCAAUUUGCUGGCGCGUAUACUCCUGCUAGCUUGAUUUUCUGUUCGGAGCAAUCCCUAGUGACCUCAGAGGUUAAGCAUAUUGCAGUCCCAAAGAACAUGGUUACUGUUUUUCUUGUUUGUCCUAGAUACAAAUUAGUUUCAUGUGGCUAAAUUAUUCUGAAAUAUGGUUUUCUUGGCCAUAAUAUUUAAGGCUUAUGUGCGCCAAGUCCUAAUAUGGCGACUGUGGUCUGAUUUGUUUUUAGUAUAUUGUCCUCAAGAUUUCGGUGACUCAUUGCCAUUGAGCAAGUUCUUCUGAUCUACUUUUGCUAUAGCUAAUGAAUUCAGUCUGCCGCAGUUCAACUUGUGCAAGCUAACCUGUUAAGCUGAGAGACUGAAAUAUUGCACCGGUGACGAAAGAAAACACCAGCUUUCCUACAAAGUUUUCUUGCUGGGUGAGAAAAACGAGAAAAUUAUGUCCGUUGAGAAAAACACCCGCUACACCUGAGACUGAACAGUUUGUCUGUUGAUUUCUGAAUCGACUUAAAGUAUGUCAUCCAAUUUGCUGGUGCUCAUGCUCCUGGUAGCUUGAUUUUCCGUUUGGAACAAUCCCUGGUAACCUUAGAGAUUAAGCAUAUUGCAAUCUUCAACGAACAUGGUUACUUUUUCUACUUGUUUGUGUAGCUAUUGUCCUAGAUACGAAGUAGUUUCAUGUGGUCAAUAUUUAAGGAUAUUUAAGGAUUAUUGGUUUUCUUGGCCAUAAUAUUUAUUAAGGAUUAUGUGCCUUAAGUGAUAAUAUGGUGGUGAGUGUAGGCUGAACUUUUUAGUGUAUUGGAAGUCUCAAUCAGGCUGCCAUAAUGCCUAUUUGAUGUUAGUUCUCAAGAUUUCGGCGACUCAUUACCAUUGAGCAAGUAUACAUAUUAUCUACUUUUGCUGUAGCCAAUGAAUUCAGGCUGCUACAGUUGAAGUUCUUAAAGCUAAGCUGUGAACCAGCUUUCCUAAAAGUUUUCUUGAAGCUGGGUGAGAAAAACGAGUAAAUGGCAAGGCAAAAUUAUUUGUGUGUUGAUUUCUGAAUCAACUUAAAUAGUGCCAUUCAAUCUGCUAGUGCUUACACUCCCUCUAGUUUGAUUCCUUUUUUUCCGGAGCAAUGCCUACAGAUUAAGCAUAUUGUAAUUGCGAAGAUAACACCAUUAGUAUUGUUGUUUGUCUAGCUAUUGCCCUGGCACGAAUUUGUUCCAUGUGGCUAAAUUAUGCUGCUGCAAUCUGGCUUUCUUGGUCAUAACGUUUAAGGAAUGCGAUUGUUGUAAACGCUGGUACUAGUGAGUGCAGUGUAGUACUGUAAACGUGUUUGGUGUACUGAGUACUUCAAGUCUCAAUCAGACUGUUGCAACUCCUAUUUGAUCUUGGUCCUCAGCGGUAAAGCACUGAAGUGAACUAGUUCCUUUUAUCUAUUUUUUCUGUAGCUGAUGAAUUCUGAUGAAUCUAUGUGAGCUUUUGGUUCCACAGCCUAACCUGCUGCAGAGAAUCAGGUGGUCUUGGUACUACAUUAAUACUUACUCCCUCUGUUAGCUUGCAAAAACGUCUUAUAUCAUGGGACAGAGGGAGUAGCUCACUAAUCAUCAUCACUGUACAGUAGUGUUACUAUGUUUCAGCAUAACUGCAGCAAAGCACCGAACCGAGAAGCUUUACCUCGCUGAUGCAUGUUGGUGUCUCGGCUUGUCUGUUGGUUCCAUUUGGUCCGGCGACCAAAGGAAACAAUCGCAUCAGGUUUGUACUCCCUCUAUUCCAUAAUAUAAAAGCGUUUUUUACACUAUACUAGUGUCAAAAACGCUUUUAUAUUAUGGGACGGAAAAAGUAUUUGCUUAACCAUACCAACAUGUUAACAUCCAAGGGUCAUUUUUCUGGCUUCUUAACCUCCAUAUCAAUACGGUACAUUGAAAAGGUUCUCAAACUUUGUUGCAACGAGCUCUUUCAUGAGAUACACAAAAACCCACUUCACCCACUACUUGUUUUUUGAAUUGUUUGGAUCGCUUACCACUUAUGUCACAUGGUAAAAUGUCAACGGAACCGCUUCACCCGCUACUUCAUGUACUCCAUAUGUAUUAUCAAGCCAAGUGGACCAGCCAAACACUUCCGGCCGUUUUUUCCGCCAUCUGCAUUUUCACAACACAGAGCACCAUGGCCGUGCAUAUUCCUAAGUGAGAUCGCGCAACUCUCGAACCGUCGUGGGUUGCCCAGCCCAGGACUAGUUUCAGCUUAGGCCCAUUUGGAUUAGCGUUUUUGCUCGUUUCUGGCCGGUUUAAGAUACCGGCCUUGUCCCGUCGUUCUCAUUUCUGACAGAAAUCAUGUGUUGACCAGUAAUUUACACAUGUAAAAAUAAAUACAAAUGUGUAAACUUAUACCCAUUCCAAGCGGGCCCUUAAGAUGUACCGUAUACAUUAGGCCUGGCGUUGGGGAGGCUGCCGAUGACGCCACGCCAAAGAGCUUCUAUUCCACGCCNNNNNNNNNNNNNNNNNNNNNNNNNNNNNNNNNNNNNNNNNNNNNNNNNNNNNNNNNNNNNNNNNNNNNNNNNNNNNNNNNNNNNNNNNNNNNNNNNNNNNNNNNNNNNNNNNNNNNNNNNNNNNNNNNNNNNNNNNNNNNNNNNNNNNNNNNNNNNNNNNNNNNNNNNNNNNNNNNNNNNNNNNNNNNUUCUAUGUGUGCAACUGUCUGUACUAGUUUUUCUCUUAAAAGAUCAAGUGGAUGUACUACUACGUGUCUGUGCUUUUCUCCAUUGCAUUGUUUUGCAUUCCGUUUUAUUAGCGUUCAACAUCUAUUUGAAAAAUAUUUAGUCGCCACCUUAAAAAAAUGUUUGGUACCAAUCAAAAAAUGUAUGUUACAUUCAAAAAUGUUUGUAUAAAUGAAAAAAAAAAUGUUUCGUACCAUUCAUAACAAUGUAGGUGAUGUUUUAAAGAAACAAUCUUGCGUUUCAGAAAAAUGUUCGUUGCAUUUACAAAAUAGUAUUUAUACAAUGUAAAAAAAUGUUCACAUAGUUUUGCAAAAAUGUUUUCAGCCAUUAAAAACAUGUUCAACAUGCAUUUGAUUUCUUUUAAUAUGUAUUUGAAAAACUUGUUCAAAACAUGUUGUAUUUGAAAAAGUACAUUCAUGUAUUGAAAAAUGUUCAACAUGUAUCAAUAAAUAUUUCGCAUGUACACUAAAAUUUACAAUGCGUACUGUAAAAAUAAAAAUGAAAAAUAAAAACUCAAAGAAAACCCAUAAAAUGAUAAACAUGUAUAAGAAAAAUAUUUCUAAUCUAUACAAAAAAUUAUAAAAUUUGUAUGAAAAGGUAUAAACCAAAAACAUAUAUUAAAAAUGAUAGUCAUGUACUUAAAAAAUGUUAAACAUUUAUAAGAAAAAUGUUUCUUAUGUAAACGCAAAAUAUACAAUCUAUUUAUGGAUAGAAUGGUACACCCCUUUGAUCUGGAGUGCAAGAUAGGAAUUCAUAAACUAGUCAAUUGUUUUCAUGCAGACACAUUAUUGAGUACCAUUUAUCUUAUGUUUUGACUUAGAAAUGGCGUUGGCUACAAUUCAAUGCACUAAAAUAGAAAGACUUUUGUGCGAAAACAGUACACAAUCAUAUUUCUCAAGUCAAACAUGUUGGUACUAUAGUUUGUAUGUCUAUUUGAUAUUUACACUGUAUAUUAGUACUACCAUAUCAUCGAGCUAAACCAAAUAUUAGUUGAUGCUUGAUAAUAGGGCCAAAUAAUAAAAAUAGUAUCAAAUGUAAAAUUAUAUAGAAAAUAUAGCCGCACAAUUGCGCGGGGCCACUCAACUAGUUAUUUAUUAGAAUAGAAGAAGAUAAACAAGCCAUCACGCUUCUCCACAUAAUUAGUGCCAAAGGCAGUUUUGAAUCGCUAUAUAUUUUUUCCUGUUCCGAAUAAGCUAUACACAGUUAUAAAAGUUUUUCUUUUGCACAUUCACCGACAUCCUGAAAUUUUUAUAAAACUCCAUGGCCGAGAAUUUCUCGAUACUAAUAAUAAAAACCCAAUUCAACAAAAGUGGUAUCUUAAUUAUUAUUUUGCAAUGCUCUGUUCUUUUGAACAGUGAAUUUUAGAAUUUAAGUUAAUUCUUGAUGUGCAAUGGAUUAAUCAGGAUAGUUUUGCACAAUAGCUAUACACAACUGUAUUAUUUGGUUUUGCACAUUCAUCAUCGUCAUGAUUAUUUUUAUAAAUCUUCAUGGCCUCAAAAUCCUCGAUGUUAAAACUAGAACCACAAACCAAUGAAAGUGAUAUUAUAACAAAAUAUUAUUACAAUUUUUUGUUCUUUUAGACAAUCAAUAUGUGUAUGAAUAUUAAAAUUAUAAAUUACUAGAAUAGCCUUUGUGUUCCCAUAAGAAGUACACAUCAGGUAUGUAAAUUUCCAAAACUUAAUAGGUUUUGUAACAAACCCCGCAUGAAAUCCUUAAUAACUAACUGUAAAGUAUACUAUCUAUUUAGUAACUAACUCCAAAACAAAGCGUGUGUUUAGAAUUUAUAAUGUCUAUAAAUAACACAACUAUUUAUACAAAUGAAAAUUUUAAUAAUAACUAACAUCAGUAAAUUAUUUUUUUAUGAACUAUGACAGAUGAAUUUUUAAGUAGUCAAUGUCUAAAUAUAUUAUUAUGUUGUUUGUUAGUUAAACAAUAUAUAAUAGAUAAACAAAUUUUAAAUAUGAAUAGAAGAAAUUGAUACAUUUUUUGUAUAUUACUAUAUAAGAUCCAUGAAUAGUGUAUAUCUUGAAUACUUUUGCAUGAAGUAUUGGUCUGCAUACAUAAUUGACAUGCAUGCAUGACUUGAAUAAUAAGAACUAGUAGUUGGGACCGUCAUUACGAGCCACUUGAGAGGAAGUUGUGCUCACAUUUCUCCAUCUUAAAAAAAUCUCAUCUUCAUCUCAAAAUAAAGAACAAACUUUCUCGCAUCCAUCUCAAAGAGAAAAUAAAAAGCCUAGAAAAACUUUUCUCAAAACGGGUAAAAAAAGUCUCAUUUUCAUCUUCUAAAAAUAAUUAAAAAAAUCAAAACAUUCUUACCGCGGCCAACGAGCAUGUGCCACAUGGCAUAGCUGGUUGGCCGCCCUUCUGGUGCAACUUAAUAGGUUUAAAUGUGUCAUGUGUGCGAGUGAGUAUGGCAUAAGAAAGCAAAACUAUGUUGUUUCAACAGCAGUAAAAGUUAGAAGCAACAAAUCAUGUUUAGAACAUAAUUGAAAACUAUAGUUGGGUUCCCACAAAAAAAAUUGGGUUGACUAUUAGAAGUUUUUUGUUGUUGCAAAUAGCANNNNNNNNNNNNNNNNNNNNNNNNNNNNNNNNNNNNNNNNNNNNNNNNNNNNNNNNNNNNNNNNNNNNNNNNNNNNNNNNNNNNNNNNNNNNNNNNNNNNNNNNNNNNNNNNNNNNNNNNNNNNNNNNNNNNNNNNNNNNNNNNNNNNNNNNNNNNNNNNNNNNNNNNNNNNNNNNNNNNNNNNNNNNNNNNNNNNNNNNNNNNNNNNNNNNNNNNNNNNNNNNNNNNNNNNNNNNNNNNNNNNNNNNNNNNNNNNNNNNNNNNCAGCAAGAGAGAAUAUUUAGAGAUGCUAAUACUUUUGAAUCAAGAAUUGUGUCAGAAUACAAAAUGAUACAAUAUAUAAAAAUGUACUCCCUCCGUCCGAAAAUACUUGUCAUCAAAAUGAAUAAAAGGGGAUGUAUCUAGAUGUAUUUUAGUUCUAGAUACACCCCCUUUUUGUCCAUUUUCAUGACAAGUUUUUUCGAACAGAGGGAGUAUAAACUCUAGGCGCGCAAAUGUGUGGGUCACUCUACUAAUUAAGUCAUAAAGAGUCUCAAUAGAAUGAGAGACAUAAACAUCUGCAUACAAAACAUAUGACAGGUCAUAGAUACCAAAGUUCAUCUUUUCUUGUUGCGGAUUGUGAAGAAAAAAACAGGGAGUAGGUUGUGUCGCAUUUGUAUUCAUUGAUAUGACCAAAUACAUAAUAUAACCCUGGUGAGCCUGACUACCCAUAAGUCAAACUGUACUAGUAGUGAUUAUAAGACCCGGGUAGGCACUAGAUACGAAAUGACAAAAGUAUAAGCAGGACGACACAUCAGCAUCAAGGUGCUUCGCAUGGAACAUUUUAUUUACUUCCGGAGGUGUCUAGUUUGGAUUCAUCAGAUCUAGCAGAAACGUAAGUACUGUCAUGUAGUACGGCGGACGGAAGCAAAAGCCAAAUUAGUGAAGAUUCGGAUGCUAGGCCCCUGGUAGAUACGAAGUGAGGAAAAGUACAAGAGUCUUAAUGGGAUGACAGUUAAUACGCAGCAUAGGGUUAAUUAACGUGCACCUAGAUGUGGUGGUCAACAUGCGUUCACUUGUUUGAUGCAGAGAAAUUCGCAGAGGGGACACGCAUUUUUUUUCUCCAUGUUCCGCUCACCGCACUAUGCUUUGAAUUUUUCAUGCCUUUUCAUUUGACUUUUAUUUUUCAAUUUAUUAUAUCUUUUGAAUUAGAAGUUUAAUUUAUGUUUAGUUUGCAUAUUUGUGUUCCUUGUGAUGAGCACUUUGAAACAAGACCACUCUUGAAUACAUUUUAAAAGAUUUUAAAAUGCCAUUUUCAAAUAUUAAAACUUUGUAAGAACAAAGGAUAAUGACAUGGUUUAGUGUUAAUGUUUAGGUUAGGGUUUAGCAAAUUUUUUUUACGAAUUGAGCUUAUUCAUAUGUAACUUGUUAUAACUUGGUGAAACUUGGCAGAAACUUAAUAUUGCGAAUUUGUCGGGGUUUACGUUUAGGGUUUUGUCAAAUUAAAAUUUAGUAUUACGAAUUGAGAUGAUUCCUAUAGGACUUGGUAAAACUUAAUAUUGCAAAUUUGUCAUAAUCCUACGUUCAUAUCAAGUUUUAAUAUUUGAAACUUGAUGAAAUUUAAAAAAUUGUCAAAAUCUAUUAAAGGGUGGUCUUAUUUAAAAUUCAUCAUCACAAGGAGCACAAAUAUGCAAACGAAACAUAAAUUGUAAUUUCAGUUCAAAAGAAAGGACAUGGAAGAGUGGAAGAAUGUCGGACAGAUGGAACAUGCAGUAUCUAACAAAAGCAUGCAUGCAUGGGACCCCCCAAAGUAAUCAAGGGAUACACAAUGCAGGAGCCUAGCCAACUUUUCUGGGUCGCGGCACAGAUCUGUGGCCCACAAAAUGCAUACCCGGAUCGACGCGUGCUGCAAAUCCUCUCUCCUCAUUCUAUGCAUGCAUCUCUAUCGGGCCAGCUUCACUCGUCAUGUGAAAAUCUACCGAAUCGCGGCAAACUUAUAACCAAAGUUGGGUCCCAAACCGCUCCAUGUCGUCUUUACCCUUCACCCACCCAACCAUCAAUCCAACAUCUAUCCGUUUGUCCCCGCGCUCGAUGCUCCCAUCGUGUUACAUCACUAGCCCGGUCGAUCUUAUCCAACCGCUGCUGCCACCGCCAGUCCUAUCGCUUAUCUACCCAUCUCCCUUGAAUCAUGGCAUGCCCUGGACAUCUUUGUUGUCACUGGGAACCCCCUCCCCCUCUCAUGGCCUAAGUCUAAGCUUCGCUCUGAAAUCCAUCCUCGCCUUCGUCAUCAUGCACUACAAAAAAUACACUUCCGUGAUGAUACGUGUUUGUCACUGUAGGUCACGUUUUCAGUCAUGCAUGUACAUCCAUGACGAUUUUAUGACAGAAUCAAGAUAGUCAUACCUGUGCUGUCGUAGAAGUGUUCCAUGACAUUACCAAAAUUAUCAUCACGGAAGUGUCCACUUCCAUGACGAUAAAUCGCGCGUCAUAGAAGUGCUUUCGUCAAGGGUGACCAACACAUGGCAUCCACCGUAACGGCUCGCCGCUAAGCUAUCGGGUCUGGUUUUGGAUCCGAUAACCCGUUAACAGCCCGGACCAAUGGUGAUUUUCCACGUGUAAAAUUCUUAUUGACCGGAGGAAACAUGUGUCUGCUCCUCGGUGGGCCAGAUGUCGCCCGUCCAUUGGAGGAGACAUGCCUAUGAUACAUCAACACGUGGCAGGGCCCAACAGAGGCCCAUAUAGGUUAAAAAGGCCGGCCCAGUUAAAGGCCUGUAGUACUUACUCAGGUACUAGUGGGCCAGCCCAAUAACGACCUGUUUAAUAAAGGCCCAUUUACGGCCCGAAGCCAGAUCUGGCCCGUUAAUUGUUCGCCGAAUAUUUGGGCCCAAUUAGAGCCCAGUGACUUUCGGCCUGUUAGAGCCCCGAUGUAGACAUGGGCCCAUUUCAGCCUGAUGUGUCUUUCGGCCUGGGAAUGGCCCGUGCUGCCUAUGGGCCAUAUAUGGUCCGACGCGACAUCCGGCCCACUGACGGCCCGUGAUAAAGGUGGCAACAGUUCAGCCCAAUGUGACUUUGGGCCUGUUAAAGGCCUGUCAUAUAAUUCGGCCCGUUGAUGCCUGUACUAAGCUUUCGCCCUCUUAAAGGCCCAUGAUAUCAGUGGGCCAGCUAAGGCCCGAGAUAUGUUUCGGCCUGGUAACGGCCUGUCAUAUAACUGGGCCAAAAAAGGUCCGGUCUACAUUUCAGCCUGCUGAAGGCCCGUCGACGACUAGUGAAAAUUGAGGCCCAACAUGCAUUUCGGCCUGCUAAAGGCCCAUGGUUUCUUCUGGGCCGUAACAGGUCAGUAGAAUAUUCAGCCUGUUAAUGGCCCAAUGCUACCUGGGCCAAACUAAGCGCUGGGUCCACAAAAGGACCAACUAAAAUUUGGGCCGAAUAUAGGCCAGAGUAAGUUGUGGGCCUGGCGCAAAGUGUGAAGGCCCCAAUGGCCAUUCGGGCCCAAGAAAGAUACAGACCGACCCAAUUGUGGUCCGCUAAAAACCAGGCCCGUUAGAGGCGAAUGUUUCGGCCCGAUCGACUACAUCAGAUUUUUUCAGAUAGCGAAUGAUGUCAAUUACUAGUAGGAAUUAAGAACAAACCUACUCUAUACAAUAAAGAAAUUACGACAUAGUAACUUAGAAUAAACCUACACUAUACAAUAAAGAAUUUAUGGUAUAUUACAUCCACUAGGCAUCGAAGUUCACCACCAGUGAUCAUAAAGCGCAACGAAGAAGCAGAUUACAAAAACUGGGCACCAUUGCAGCGUAACAAAAUAAUACUGAACCGAGACCACUUCCAAGACAGUUCAAGAAAGGUUAGCCUUGCACGGGAACUGCUGCGCAAGCUGCUGAGCAAGGCUGUGAGACCGGCCUAGCAUGUCGGUCAUAGCUUCCAGGUGUAGCUAUUUAGUAAUGAGAUUCUCAUUGGUGUUCUCUGCAAUCUUUCUUAGAGGUAGGACUUCAAGUCGAAGUUGAGUUGCAGAAUGCCUUUCUGCUAGAACUUGGGACUGAAGAAGUCGAACUGAUUCAGACAGCGAAUUCUGUAAGCUUGUCUGACUGCUAGUCUCAAGUAACUUGAACACUGCAUCAAGACAAGACUUUGGGGUUGUCUCGCUAUCUUCAAGAUGUUUUGCCUUCUUUGCUGCAAUAUAUGUUGGGUUUGUCUCACAGCCUUCAGCAGACUUGUGCAUGCCAUCAGGCAUAUCACCCUGAAACAAGCAGAGAGAUGACGGGUUUUGCACGUGUAUAAACAAAGAUGAUAACUGUGUUGUCAAUUCCAUCCAAUUUCAAAUUAGAAAAUAAAGAGUAAGUUCAAAAUAUCAAUAGCAUAAUUUGGCAUUGUUCAUAAUGCGGGGAGCUUCACCACACUACUGGAUUACCAUGUCAACAUAACAAGCAAAGAUGAAGGGCAAAGACAAUCAUUGUAUCUAUUUUGGUUAAUGUGCAUGGCAUGUUGUUCAUAUCAUCAGCCACAUCAGUAAGAUAAAACAGGAGAUAACAAGGUGCAAACGUGGGCUGCUUCACCACACACUGGAUUAUAGAUCCACAAAAACAAGCAUACAUAUAGGGAGUAUUGAGUAAUGUGCAUGGUAUGAAUAAGGAAUUUGGUUUUACAAGUAAAACUUGGAACUUACGGUUCUUGCGAACAUGCAUUUUGAUAGAAACAGCAAACUAAACAGCAGUAAACGAUAGGGAGUAUGGGCAAAUUAAACAGCAGUUGAGGAUAAAGGCUUUAGAAGGACUGACUUACACUAAUAGUUAACACCGGCUUUAUAAUGCCCUUCUCCAUGUCAAGGGAAGGAUAACUCAAGAAUUUUAGCACAAAAUCUUCUUCAUAAGCAUUCCCUGUACUCUACAUUUUGUAGAGAGUAAUUAUAGAUAUAAUAAUACUGGAAGGGAUAGAGGAUGAUGAAGAUAAGAUGCAGAUUGAUGCUACAUAAUCAACUACCAAUCCCUAGAAGUACAAGCGUUACAGGACAAAAUGUACUGACAAGAGCAAUGGGCUACACUUCUGCACUGGCAUUGUCUGUGUAUUCAACUUUUUGGUAAUAUUAAAUAUAGAUCUGAUAUUUUUUAGUAAAUGGUGGGCGAGGGAGAUAAGAUGCAGCAUGCUACACAAUGAACCAAUCCCUCUUCCCAUAAUACAAGAGUGUUUUGAACACUGGUGUACUAUACAAAACGUUCUUAUAUUAUGGGACGGAGGGAGUAGCUGUUAAUGUAAGUACAGUGAUAGACGACGUUCAGUCCUUACAAAAGGACUGCAGAGCUAAACCUCUUCAAAAGCAUUGGGUUGAUUCUAAAUUUAUGUAGAAGUCCAUACAGAUCUUAUAAUGUCCACCAAAUGGACGAUAACGAGGCUAACAUGUGCAGUGAUGCUACAUAAUCAAACAACUAUGAAAGUAAGUAUGGUCAUACAGGGCUAAGAGGUACUCACAAGAGCAAUGCGGUGUGCAGUAUAGUUGCGAGAUUUUGUGGUCCCUUGAGAAUGAAUGUUCUUCUGCUAACAAUUUUCAUACAAGUGAGACAUUAAGGCAAAUGCAGAAAUGUAGUUCAAAUCGUGAUAUGAUACCAUAGACAGUACCUUACGCUGCAGACGAGACCAAUGUGUAACAAGAUUAUUCCCGUUACUGUUGGAUAAAUGCAGCACCGGAGACUUUACAGAAAUUUUGUUUAGAGGCUUGCCAUCGAAGUGCGCUUGCCUCAGGUAGGAACGAUACUUCAUCAACGAGUGCUUGAAAAGCGCAAUCAACCCUUGCUCGUCUUGACAAUCCAGUUUGGUCCUCACCUAUUUAAAAGAAUGAAAUCAUGUGUCUUCUGUCAGCAGAAACAUAUGUAGUAAUUACCAUGAAUAACAUUAGUACAUUACUUACGCGUAAGUUGCGGAGGAAGACUAGAAAUUGUUCUGUGUCUGCGGUAUAGUCUUUCCAUGAAGGAAAGAUGCGCACAAAGUUCCUGACAACAAUAUAAGCUUCGUCUCUAAACUGGGAAGAAAUGGAACAUGGGUCCUAUUUGCUGCAAUUGGGGCUCUCUCUGGUUCGAAAAGGGAUUUGGCAACUGGAUUUGGUGUACUCUUUGCUGGAAUGGGGGUUUUGCGUCGUAGAGCUGGUGCUAUGUCAACUGGCAUCAUCAUACUGUUUGCUGCAGUUGGGGUCUGCUGAGUUGGGGCAUCAGAAAUGACCAGUGUAGUAGGGCUAGAGUCUGCUAGAGUUGGGGUGUUUUGUGGGUCAGGUGAUAUUGCAACUACACCUAAUGGGCUAUUUGAUUUAUUAGGUGUCACUACCUUUUCCAAAUACUUUGCUCGUGCUCCUUCGCGAUCAGCAAUCGCCCUCUUCCUUUUGAACGUUUGAUACACAAGAACAACAUUUGAAUGGAUAAACAAGGUAUGAUGACAGAUGGAAUAUGUACUGAAAAUGGAUAGGCAGGGCGUAUUCACAUACACGAUGUGUAAACUAAGCUAAUGGAAGUGCAACAAAGUAGAAGCAAUGCAAAGCAUCAGUUGCAAGACAUGUGUGACCAAUAUAACCUUGGAAAGUUAGAGCAAGCACCUUGAUGGGUUAAUAAGAUAGGGCAUCUGCCUCUGAUUCCUCCACUAGGGAGCUACAUUGACUUAGGUCUCUGUCGGGGAUAUACCCCGCGGUACGACCCGACCGGGACUUGGUGUUUCAUUGGUAAGCCGGCAGAUGUUAAAUCAGAUGAUAACCCGGCAGAUGUUAAGUCAGAUGGUAACCCGACAGAUGUUAAGUCAGAUGGUAACCCGACAGAUGUUAAGUCAGAUCAUAACCCGGCAGAUGUUAAGUUAGAUCAUAACCCGGCAGAUGUUAAGUCAGAUCAUAACCCGGUAGAUGUUAAGUCAGAUCAUAACCCGACAGACGUUAAGUCAGAUGGUAAACCGGCAGACAGUAAUAACCCAGCAGACAGAGUCGCCUGGGGUUAAUAAGCCCGAGACAUUAAGAAGCCCAAGAUGUUAAGAAGCCCAUGAAGAGAAGUCAGAAUAGUUUAAGUCUUAGUCCGAGAUGGACUAUACAUGUAACCUGCCCCUUCAACUUAUAUAAGGAGGGGCGGGGCACCCCAAGAGGGAGAAGGAGGGAGAGACAAUCUUAAGGCUAGACAUAACUAGGAGAGCCGGUUUACGGCGACUCCCUCGUGAUGAUAAUGAGACCUAGCCACAAACAACAUGUAGGGUUAUUACCGGAUGAGUUUCCCGGGGCCCGAAGCUGUCUAAAUCCUUGUCUUGUGUGUUGAUCCGCCUCGCGUCUCUCGAUUCCGACCAACCCCUUCAAGCUACCGCGUAGAUGCGUUGGCCUCACGACUAAGUCCUCACACUAGGACAUCUACCGUGACUAUUCCACGACAGUUGGCGCCCACCGUGGGGCCUGCACACGGUGGUGUUGAGUUCUUGGAGGGCGCAAUCCUUGGGAUCGAGAAGCUCCGCCCAGCUUAUUGAAGAAGUUCCGGCCGGCUCGUCGGAGAGUUCCAGCCGGCUCGCCAAAAAAGUUCCGUCAGGCUCAUCGAAAGGUUCCGCUGGCUCAUCGGAAAGUUCUGGCCGGAUCAUUGGAAAGUUCUGACCGCCUCGAUGAAAGGUUCCGUUUGAAUCACCAAAGAGGUUCGAUCGCCUGGACGAAAAGUUCUGUCUGAAUCGCUGAAGGGUUCCAGCCGAAUCGCCGAAGGGUUCCGUCCGAGUCGCCAAAGAGUUCCGAAUUAGGCUCAAAAAGUUCCAGAUUAUCAAAAAGUUCCGGCCGAGUUAUCCAGAGGUUCCGGUUCAAAAAGUUCCGGAUUAUCAAAAAGUUUCGGCCGGGUUAUCCAGAGGUUCCGGCUCAAAAAGUUCCGGAUUGUCAAAAAGUUCCGGCCGGGUUAUCCAGAGGUUCCGGCUCAAAAGUUCCGGGCGGGUUAUCCAGAGGUUCCGGCUCAAAAAGUUCCGGAUUAUUAAAAAGUUUCGGCCAGGUUAUCCAGAGGUUCCGGCUCAAAAAAAGUUCCAGAUUAUCAAAACGUUCUCGCCAGUUUAUCCAGAGGUUCCGGUUCAAAAAAAAGUUCUGGCUCAUCAAAAAGUUCCGUCCAGAUUAUCCAGAGGUUCUGGAUCAAAAAGUUCCAGAUUAUCAAAAAGUUCCGGCCGGGUUAUCCAGAGGUUCCAGAUCAAAAAGUUCCAGAUUAUAAAAAAGUUCCGGUUCAGGGUCAUCUAUUAUUACUGGCAGUAGUAAUAUGCCCAUCCACGACUGGCUUUCAGAUGCAUCAUGUGAUAUUUGUCCAACUUUAUUUUAUUAACAUAUAUUGUUUUUGUCAAAGAACAAUUUAUCUUUGCCUUGGUCUGCAAUAUUGUUUAUGCAGGACAAUUGUUCAUUGCAAGAGCGAUGGUCGUAUCAUGGAUAUAUAGCUCACGCCACCAUUAUCAUGAGUUAGCGUCUGCUUGUGCCAUGACGCUUGUUGAAUAUAUGUGCAAACCGCCACCUCUGCGGCCCAAUUUAUAUAAACAUGGUGUGGUUGACUUUCCCGUUCGUGCGGCUCACCGCGCAUGCGAUUGACUCGUCCGUCCGCACCGGCUUAAAACACAAUGGUCGACUCAUCUGUUCGUGCCCGCGGCUGACUCGCCCGCAUCCGUGCCACUUAUGAUGAUGCAGUCAUCUUUACCGUCCGCCCCCGUGGUUUGGUCUACCCCAACAUACUGGAGCUGCACCUAUCUGCACGAGCUGCUUAUUGAAUGCAAGCAGGUCACUGCUCCGGUGGCCCGAUGUUUCUUCUAACAACUCUGGAGCAAAUUAUCAUAUAUCAUCAGUCUCCGUUUUGCGCCGGAUGACUCAAUGGGUAGGUGCACAAGUCGCCGCCACUGGAGUUUGUUUAAACAUCAACAACCAGCUGGGAUGAACCAUUGGCAGAGUUGCUGACACAGCUCAUACGGGAUCAUUUAUAACCCACUGUGGUCACCUCAACCUUCUGUGGAUUCGCAUCGCAUUAUCAACGCCAAUGAUAUACAUCUUAUGCUAUGGUCAAAUAUGGAGAAUCUCAAGACAACUCCUCGAGUCGCCUUGAGACUCGGGGGCUACGAUGACAUGACUCAGUAAAUGACUGACAGUUUAAAGCAAGUCAAGAACUCCGGGUCAGUGGAGGGAAGAUAACCCGGUCCCGGAGGUUGCUGUUAUAUUGAUGAAAAUUUAAAAGGUCGUCAGAAAAUUUCCGGCUCAAAAUGAGGAUUCCGGUUUACAAUCCGGUUCAAGGGAAAUCUGUCUCCCGCAAAGCUUUGAAGCUCUCAAUAUCCGGUUUAAAACUCCGAUUGAAAAAGAAAUUCAUCUCUUGCAAGUUCGAGUUCUCAGAAAAAUUAAAGGUUGCCAAAGAGAACUUGCUGCCAUGAUGCGCGGUGCAAACAUGGGUAUCCUGCCUUAUGGGCUUAUCUUAUUAUGGUCACAUGGGGGCUUCCUGCUCAUUGAGCGAAGUUAUGAUUACCCUUUGAUCCGGCUUAUAGGCCACACACAUAAAAAAAA